GACGAACGCUGGCGGCGUGCUUAACACAUGCAAGUCGAACGAAAAGAGGGAAAGAGCUUGCUCUUUCCGGAAUUGAGUGGCAAACGGGUGAGUAACACGUAAACAACCUGCCUUCAGGAUGGGGACAACAGACGGAAACGACUGCUAAUACCGAAUAAGUUCCAAGAGCCGCAUGGCCCAUGGAAGAAAAGGUGGCCUCUACCUGUAAGCUAUCGCCUGAAGAGGGGUUUGCGUCUGAUUAGCUGGUUGGAGGGGUAACGGCCCACCCAAGGCGACGAUCAGUAGCUGGUCUGAGAGGAUGAACGGCCACACUGGAACUGAGACACGGUCCAGACUCCUACGGGAGGCAGCAGUGGGGAAUCUUCGCAAUGGCGAAAGCCUGACGGAGCAACGCCGCGUGAGUGAUGACGGCC
rnacentral:rRNA from 1 species